UACGUAGGGAGCAAGCGUUGUUCGGAUUUACUGGGCGUAAAGGGCGCGUAGGCGGCGCUGUAAGGCACUUGUGAAAUCUCUGAGCUCAACUCAGAACGGCCAAGUGAUACUGCAGUGCUAGAGUGCAGAAGGGGCAAUCGGAAUUCUUGGUGUAGCGGUGAAAUGCGUAGAUAUCAAGAGGAACACCUGAGGUGAAGACGGGUUGCUGGGCUGACACUGACGCUGAGGCGCGAAAGCCAGGGGAGCAAACGGG
rnacentral:rRNA from 1 species